AGGGGCUCUUCGAGGAAACGUCGGGCCACUCCCCCUGGCAUGUCCUCUUUCCAUUUUCAGGCAUCUCUCGAUUUCGGACCUGUUACCCCCAAAUUUAAUCAACAAAAUCGACCCAAAUUAGGGUUUAUCAGUCGUCAAGGUCCACUCAAUGGAACAGUUUUCGCUCUUGAGCUGCUCCGAGGUUCGUUCCCGACUGGGACUUGGUCGUCGCCGGCGUUAGGUUUUUGUGUUUCUUUUUUUUUUUUUUUUUUUGCGCUUCUGGUGGUUCGUCUAUGGCGAGCGCGAAUUUGGAGCAUUUGCAGGCGCGCGGGCCGAUGAGGGUCGAGGACGAGGAGGACGAGCUUGAGAAUGGUGGCACCGAUGAUUGUGCCGAUGAGAUGGAGGAGGCCGGUCGAGUUUUUGUGGAUUCUGUGAGUGACUAUGGCCAUCAUCAUCGCAGCAAUAAUGCUAUUUGUUGUACAGGAGGUGUUGGGGCGCCUUCGAGGACGAGUGAGCUCACGCUCUCUUUCGAAGGCGAAGUGUACGUGUUCCCGGCUGUUACACAUGAAAAGGUGCAGGCAGUGCUUUUGCUUCUAGGAGAACAUGAUAUACCAACCGCUGUGCCUACAUUUGAAGUACCUUAUGUUCAAAGUACUAUGGAUGUGGUUGACACUUCAAAGCGGUCUAAUCUUUCCAGAAGAAUAGCCUCUUUGGUUAGGUUUCGGGAGAAGCGCAAGGAGAGAUGUUUUGACAAGAAGAUUAGGUAUACUGUGCGAAAAGAGGUUGCCCAGAGGAUGCAUCGAAAAAACGGGCAGUUUGCUUCAAUAAAAGAAGGUUCAGGUGCUAGCAGUUUGGUUUUAGCUCAAAGUUGUCAUCAGGAUGGUACUCCCCCUCCAGAAACUGUUGACCGGAGGUGUCAACAUUGUGGUGUUAGUGAAAAUGCAACUCCUGCUAUGCGUCGUGGGCCAGCCGGACCAAGGACUUUAUGUAAUGCCUGUGGUUUAAUGUGGGCGAAUAAGGGAACAUUGAGGGAUCUCAGUAAGGGAGGAAGAAAUCUUUCUCUAGACCAGAGUGAACUGGGAACCCCAGAUGUCAAGCCUUUGCUUAUCGAUGGUCGACAUUUCUCUAGCACUAAGGAUGAUCUUUCAAUGCAGGGAAUUUCUGGAGAAACUUCUACAGCUGACGUUAAGAGAUUAUCUGAUCCUUCAAUCAACCCCAGCGUUGAAUUGGAAAAUCAAAUGCACAAUAGUGCUUUUUCUGCACAGGAUUUUCGUGAAACUGCUGCUGAUCUAACAAGCACAUUGCCCAUGGGAAUCAUGCAGUCUUCAGCUGAUGAUGAUGAGCAGGUACAUUUCUUCUUUCUAAAUUUGCAUCUGUUGAGGCUCCUAAUUCACUAAUCGAGACCCUUUGACCUGUGAAGCUGGGCAAAGAAGCAGUGGAACCUCAUAGCUACCAGUCUCUGGGAGUCUGAGUGUUCCUUUCAAUCUUCAUUCCUAAGCAGAAAUUUGGUUUGACUAACUGGUACAGAACUUAUCACUGUCUUCAUUUGAAAGGUUAGACAGAGAAGCUCUGAGUAUUCAUCUUCAGAGGGCCCCACCAGGACCUUCAACAUAUCCUAGAAAAAGUUACCACUUAGCUGUCAUCAGUGGAAUCUGAGAAAGAAUUAAUUCACACUUGCAGCUUCUGCACCCUAUAGCUUCAUUUCAUUGAUACCCUCAUGCUUCAGAUCAUUGAUUGCCUCCAAUAACAUUUUUUCUCCAACUUGUCACCUUCCACAUGCUCCAUUGACAACAAAGAGAAACACUAUGAUGAACUUAGUUGCAGAGAUCUGUUUACCUUUCUAUUUACUUUCUCAAUCAACAGAUAUUGGUUGGAAAAAGCUUCUGGUGGAUUCGCUCCUUUUUUCUGAAACUAGAGAAGAAUUGUUUAAAAGCUAGAGCUAGCAUUUUAUGUGAUGACCUGUAAGGUUUAAAUAAUUAGGAAGAUCCUCCUCCUCACUGAUGUCCUAGACAGCAUUGUUUCCCCGUGCCUGUCCUGUAGUACAUGCAUGAUAGGAUAUCGAGCUUUGCGUUUCAAAGAGAAAGUUGGCUUUGGAGAUCAAGGAUAUUAUUGAGCACCAUUUAGGGUAUAUUAGCAUGCCCAGUGGCAAUAUGAUGCUGUGGUGAGAACAUCAGACUCCAUGUAAGGCAAAUGUUAAAACAGGAAACGGUGGGAAGUUAUGGAUAGAUAUUCUUUCCAUAAACCUUCAAGAUAUGGAUGUUAAGGAAGGCGGGAAUGACGGUACAAGACUGGGAGAAAAUAUGUUACUCGCCAACUUUUGUUGGACAUAAAUGCAGUUCAUGCUGUGUUGCUCCCAUGAGGUUCAUAGUGGCAUGUUUUGCACAUUGUGUAUUGUUUCUUUUCUUUUCGGAUCUAUUAACGCCAUUUAGCAGUUAAGAAGAAUUGAGACAAGCUCCUAGCUGUAGAACCUUGUUGCAAGGUCUCUGUUCGAUUUUGAAUUCCCAUUUAUUUUGUUCUCUGUUUCUUUUGGAAAAUGAGAGGAACUGAAACAUCUAGAUGCAAGAUGAGAAAAGGCCAAGACUUUUUGGCAUUUCGUAAAAUCAAGUUCAUUUAACUUUUUAGCGGUUUUUCCACUACUAAGUAAAAUCAGUUGAAGCACUUCAGUCUUCAGUUCUAUGACUGCAGUCGAUAGCUGUCAGUUGUUUCACACAGUCCUAGCCUAUUGCGUUUGGUUGCAGCAAAUUGACAGUGAUUGUUUUUCUUAUUUUGUAAGGUGUUUGAAUUGCAGGGAACUCUGGUUGAGCUCGCUGAUCCAUCAGAUACAGACAUUGAUAUUCCUGCUAACUUUGAUUAGAAGGUUAAAGUUUCCUUGUCUGUGGAAAAGAAUGGCGAAUCCUAAAGGCUGUGCUUGUGACCACCAUGCCAUCAAAUCUUGUGAGCUGAGGGUGAUACUCUUUUAACUCUGGCCGUGAUUAAUUUAAACCUAUUGUAUGUAUAGAAACUAGAUAGUGUGAAUGCAUCCUACCAGCCUAUUCCCUGUAAUUUGCCUUUCAGGGCUGUUGUUAAGGCAGAUGUUAUCGUUUGUGAUUAACAUAGCUUGACAUCAACAUGUGCUGCAUGGGUUGCUCUCUUGAGGUACCCCUCCAAUGUAAAUCUAAAGAAGAAGCAGCACUUCAGUAAUCGAUGGCAAGGCUCAAUCAUCUU